AAUGAACGCUGGCGGCGUGCCUAAUACAUGCAAGUCGAGCGAAAGGACGAUAAGCUUGCGUCCCUGCUGUUAGCGGCGGACGGGUGAGUAACACGUGGAUCACCUACUUCUAUUUCGUGGAUAACUUCGGGAAACCGGAUCUACUACCACAGAAUAUUUUCAACCGCAUGGUUCAAAAGUGCAUCACGGUCUUGCUGUCUCGUAUAGCUGGUUCCGCGCUGGAUUAUCUGGUUGGUAAGGUACCGGCUUACCAAGGCUACGAUGCGUAGCCGAGCUGAGAGGGUGAUCGGCCACACUGGAACUGAGACACGGUCCAGACUCCUACGGGAGGCAGCAGUGGGGAAUCUUGGGCAAUGGGCGAAAGCCUGACGGAGCAACGCCGCGUGAGUGAAGAAGGCCUUCGGAUCGUAAAGCCCUGUUAUUGGGGAAGAACAGAUGUGGGAGUAGACGUGGCGGUCUUGACGGUACCUAAUGAGAAAGCAACGGCUAACUACGUG
rnacentral:rRNA from 1 species